GACAGAGGGUGCAAACGUUGUUCGGAAUUACUGGGCGUAAAGCGCGUGUAGGCAGUUUCGCAAGUCGGGUGUGAAAGCCCUGGGCUCAACCUAGGAAGUGCACUCGAAACUGCGAGACUUGAGUCCUGGAGAGGAAGGCGGAAUUCUCGGUGUAGAGGUGAAAUUCGUAGAUAUCGAGAGGAACACCGGUGGCGAAGGCGGCCUUAGCUGGGACAGUGACUGACGCUGAGACGCGAAAGCGUGGGGAGCAAACA
rnacentral:rRNA from 1 species